rnacentral:rRNA from 1 species
UACGUAGGGUGCAAGCGUUGUCCGGAAUUAUUGGGCGUAAAGAGCUCGUAGGCGGUCUGUCGCGUCGGCUGUGAAAACUCGGGGCUCAACCCCGAGCCUGCAGUCGAUACGGGCAGACUAGAGUGCUGUAGGGGAGACUGGAAUUCCUGGUGUAGCGGUGAAAUGCGCAGAUAUCAGGAGGAACACCAGUGGCGAAGGCGGGUCUCUGGGCAGUAACUGACGCUGAGGAGCGAAAGCGUGGGUAGCGAACAGG